GAUGUGAUGGCCAAGAGGUGAAGGCAUUGGGUUGGAAAUCCUGUUGGGUUUCCCCAUGCAGGGUUGAAUCCUCCUCACAGUG